rnacentral:rRNA from 1 species
UUGGAGGGCAAGUCUGGUGCCAGCAGCCGCGGUAAUUCCAGCUCCAAUAGCGUAUAUUAAAGUUGCUGCAGUUAAAAAGCUCGUAGUUGAAUUUUGGGACCAAUAUGUCGGUCGUGCCUCGGUACGUACUGGCAUCGUUGGUUUCUCCCUUCUGACGAACCAUGAUGUCAUUUAUUUGGUGUCGUGGGGAAUCAGGACUGUUACUUUGAAAAAAUUAGAGUGUUUAAAGCAGGCUCACGCUUGAAUACAUUAGCAUGGAAUAAUGAAAUAGGACGUUUGAUUCUAUUUUGUUGGUUUCUAGGAUCGACGUAAUGAUUAAUAGGGAUAGUUGGGGGCAUUAGUACUCAAUUGUCAGAGGUGAAAUUCUUGGAUUUAUUGAAGACUAACUACUGCGAAAGCAUUUGCCAAGGAUGUUUUCAUUAAUCAAGAACGAAAGUUAGGGGAUCGAAGACGAUCAGAUACCGUCGUAGUCUUAACCAUAUACUAUGCCGACUAGGGAUCGGAUGACGUUAAUUUUUUAAUGACUCAUUCGGCACCUUACGGGAAAC